AAUGAACGCUGGCGGCGCGCCUAAUACAUGCAAGUCGAGCGAGAAGACGUAGCAAUACGUUUGUAAAGCGGCGAACGGGUGAGGAAUACAUGGGUAACCUACCCUCGAGUGGGGAAUAACUAGCCGAAAGGUUAGCUAAUACCGCGUACGCUCCUUGGACUUCGGUUCAGGGAGGAAAGCGAUACCGUGGGUAUCGCGCUCUUGGAUGGGCUCAUGUCCUAUCAGCUUGUGCGAGUACGCUCACCAAGGCUUCGACGGUAGCUGGUCUGNGAGGACGAUCAGCCACACUGGCAC
rnacentral:rRNA from 1 species